rnacentral:rRNA from 1 species
AUAAUGGGUCAGCGACUUAUAUUCUGUAGCAAGGUUAACCGAAUAGGGGAGCCGAAGGGAAACCGAGUCUUAACUGGGCGUUAAGUUGCAGGGUAUAGACCCGAAACCCGGUGAUCUAGCCAUGGGCAGGUUGAAGGUUGGGUAACACUAACUGGAGGACCGAACCGACUAAUGUUGAAAAAUUAGCGGAUGACUUGUGGCUGGGGGUGAAAGGCCAAUCAAACCGGGAGAUAGCUGGUUCUCCCCGAAAGCUAUUUAGGUAGCGCCUCGUGAAUUCAUCUCCGGGGGUAGAGCACUGUUUCGGCAAGGGGGUCAUCCCGACUUACCAACCCGAUGCAAACUGCGAAUACCGGAGAAUGUUAUCACGGGAGACACACGGCGGGUGCUAACGUCCGUCGUGAAGAGGGAAACAACCCAGACCGCCAGCUAAGGUCCCAAAGUCAUGGUUAAGUGGGAAACGAUGUGGGAAGGCCCAGACAGCCAGGAUGUUGGCUUAGAAGCAGCCAUCAUUUAAAGAAAGCGUAAUAGCUCACUGGUCGAGUCGGCCUGCGCGGAAGAUGUAACGGGGCUAAACCAUGCACCGAAGCUGCGGCAGCGACGCUUAUGCGUUGUUGGGUAGGGGAGCGUUCUGUAAGCCUGCGAAGGUGUGCUGUGAGGCAUGCUGGAGGUAUCAGAAGUGCGAAUGCUGACAUAAGUAACGAUAAAGCGGGUGAAAAGCCCGCUCGCCGGAAGACCAAGGGUUCCUGUCCAACGUUAAUCGGGGCAGGGUGAGUCGACCCCUAAGGCGAGGCCGAAAGGCGUAGUCGAUGGGAAACAGGUUAAUAUUCCUGUACUUGGUGUUACUGCGAAGGGGGGACGGAGAAGGCUAUGUUGGCCGGGCGACGGUUGUCCCGGUUUAAGCGUGUAGGCUGGUUUUCCAGGCAAAUCCGGAAAAUCAAGGCUGAGGCGUGAUGACGAGGCACUACGGUGCUGAAGCAACAAAUGCCCUGCUUCCAGGAAAAGCCUCUAAGCAUCAGGUAACAUCAAAUCGUACCCCAAACCGACACAGGUGGUCAGGUAGAGAAUACCAAGGCGCUUGAGAGAACUCGGGUGAAGGAACUAGGCAAAAUGGUGCCGUAACUUCGGGAGAAGGCACGCUGAUAUGUAGGUGAAGUCCCUUGCGGAUGGAGCUGAAAUCAGUCGAAGAUACCAGCUGGCUGCAACUGUUUAUUAAAAACACAGCACUGUGCAAACACGAAAGUGGACGUAUACGGUGUGACGCCUGCCCGGUGCCGGAAGGUUAAUUGAUGGGGUUAGCGCAAGCGAAGCUCUUGAUCGAAGCCCCGGUAAACGGCGGCCGUAACUAUAACGGUCCUAAGGUAGCGAAAUUCCUUGUCGGGUAAGUUCCGACCUGCACGAAUGGCGUAAUGAUGGCCAGGCUGUCUCCACCCGAGACUCAGUGAAAUUGAACUCGCUGUGAAGAUGCAGUGUACCCGCGGCAAGACGGAAAGACCCCGUGAACCUUUACUAUAGCUUGACACUGAACAUUGAGCCUUGAUGUGUAGGAUAGGUGGGAGGCUUUGAAGUGUGG